CAGUCGCCGCGGUAAUACGAAGGGUGCAAGCGUUAAUCGGAAUUACUGGGCGUAAAGCGUGCGCAGGCGGUUGUGUAAGACAGGUGUGAAAUCCCCGGGCUUAACCUGGGAACUGCGCUUGUGACUGCACAGCUAGAGUAUGGCAGAGGGGGGUGGAAUUCCACGUGUAGCAGUGAAAUGCGUAGAGAUGUGGAGGAACACCGAUGGCGAAGGCAGCCCCCUGGGCCAAUACUGACGCUCGUGCACGAAAGCGUGGGGAGCAAACAUGAUUAGAUACCCCGGUAGUCCCUGUCUCUUAUAC
rnacentral:rRNA from 1 species